ACUCCUAGGGGCGGGGCUUCUGGCAACUCCCUGUCGCUCCGGUCUGUCGGCUCUGGGUACCUCGCGAUCUGACUCGGCUCCCUUCCAUCGGCCCCCAGAAUUCUGGGGGAGGGGGUCUUCUGGCUCGGGCUGGAGGAGCCUGAGUGGAGAAGCUGACCGUCUCCAGUGGCACUGGGUCGCUCAGCUUUAAACGUCGCCGCUGUCUCGAGCCCGAGGGUGCCUCACUUCCGGCUCCGCUACUAGCUUCCCUUGCCCCGGAAAAGGGCGGUAAGAGGGAGCCAAUGGGCGGCCACAGAGGGAACCGUGACGGUGCGUCAGAAGGCCACGCCCCAGCGGAGCUGUAGCUGCCCGCUUCCUGCACUCUCUGCCGGCUGACAUGAGUUGGCGGCUGAGGCUGUCGUGGCCGCUGAGGCUGUUGUGGCCGUUCGUCUGGGUCCUCCCAGCCUUGCUUUCUUCGCGGAGCCUGCGGAGAAGCCCCGUCACUCCCGUGAGGCUCGACUUCCUAGUCUGUAAAACGAGGAUCAUGCCACCGCCCUUUCCCACUGUCUUCACCCAUCGAAAUUUAGUUCUUUAAAUUCCAGACCCGAGCCGGCGUCUACAAAGCCUUCCCCUCUGCGCGCGUCGCUUCCAGUAGGAAUUCGACUGUUCCUUUUAUAAAACAGAAGAGGGCGCCCGCCCUUAAAAAAUAAAA
rnacentral:lncRNA from 1 species